GUUCAUCUUCAGGGCAGGGUGAAAGUCCCGACCGGCGGUAAUAGUCCGCGACCUCAACACUUUUGUUGAGUUGACUUGGUGCGAUCCCAAGACCGACAGUACAGUCUGGUAUAAAGAAGAUUGAC
rnacentral:ncRNA from 2 species